UCUCAAGUAUUUUCUUAUCAUAUGUGAUUGAGUACUCCUCUCUUCCUCUAUCCACCAUAUUUCUAUUGAUUUAGUUGCCAACAAGUUGGUAUUAGAGCAUAAGCAUAAGAAGCACCCAUCACCAAAUUCUAACAAAUACUUCAUUAUCCUUUUUCUCCAAAAAUACCAUGUAUUCUAGACAAUGAGAACGAUUAUAGCAUGCUUAUAGUUAAUUCUAUCUCAUAAAUUUCAGUCUGUUGUAAAACAAAUUUUAUGUAUGUCAUUCGUAUUACAGGGACCCAUGCUAGCUCCAUGUGAACAGGAAGUGUCUUUUUGG
rnacentral:lncRNA from 1 species